GUGCUUGCCAUUUCAUUCUUAGGAGCAUUUUUCCUGAAAGAAUGGUUUUGCACCUGCCCCUGUCUGCACUUUGCAAGGACAAAGGAAGUCCCCUAUGUACCUCAGAGGAACUUUCAUGUUGCAUCUAUCAUGACAUUCCUCAUCUCAGUGCCUAUCAGUCUCACCUCGGUGCCAGGGGAGGUCAUGGAACGGAUAAUCUCGGGAACCAUCAUGGACCAACUAAAGGUCAACCAGGGGAUCAGGCCCAGUCAGCAUGGGUUUAUGAACGGUUCUGUGAAGGAGGAGGCGUUCCCACAGAGGGACGUCUUCCCCCACAUCUUGAGCCAUGCCUGGAGAAGGACAGCUGCCUCUCACUUUGGACACAGCUCCACCCAGGCCACUUGGCUAUGGUUCUUGAUCUUCUCUUUCUGACCAGCCACCGUUGAAUUCAUAAGGGUUCAUAGAGGCCACACUGGAGAAGAAAUCCUAUUGAAAGCCACUUUCAUCUGCAUUUGCCUUUAAGUGGUAUGUAGAAAAUUAG
ensembl:lncRNA